CGGGGCGUAGCGCAGUCUGGUAGCGCAUCUGGUUUGGGACCAGAGGGUCGUAGGUUCAAAUCCUAUCGCCCCGACCA
rnacentral:tRNA from 1 species